rnacentral:miRNA from 15 species
CCAAAGUCUCAGUGCAGCUUUA